CCUGCCCCCUCCCCCGGGAUAGCCGCCCGAAAGGACGGGUAAUACCGGAUACCCCCGGGCGCCGCAUGGCGCCCGGGCUAAAGCCCCGACGGGAGGGGAUGGCUCCGCGGCCCACCAGGUAGACGGCGGGGUGACGGCCCACCGUGCCGACAACGGGUAGCCGGGUUGAGAGACCGACCGGCCAGAUUGGGACUGAGACACGGCCCAGACUCCUACGGGAGGCAGCAGUGGGGAAUCUUGCGCAAUGGGGGGAACCCUGACGCAGCGACGCCGCGUGCGGGACGGAGGCCUUCGGGUCGUAAACCGCUUUCAGCAGGGAAGAGUCAAGACUGUACCUGCAGAAGAAGCCCCGGCUAACUACGUGCCAGCAGCCGCGGUAAUACGUAGGGGGCGAGCGUUAUCCGGAUUCAUUGGGCGUAAAGCGCGCGUAGGCGGCCCGGCAGGCCGGGGGUCGAAGCGGGGGGCUCAACCCCCCGAAGCCCCCGGAACCUCCGCGGCUUGGGUCCGGUAGGGGAGGGUGGAACACCCGGUGUAGCGGUGGAAUGCGCAGAUAUCGGGUGGAACACCGGUGGCGAAGGCGGCCCUCUGGGCCGAGACCGACGCUGAGGCGCGAAAGCUGGGGGAGCGAACAGGAUUAGAUACCCUGGUAGUCCCAGCCGUAAACGAUGGACGCUAGGUGUGGGGGGACGAUCUCCCCGUGCCGCAG
rnacentral:rRNA from 1 species